AGUGAACGCUGGCGGCAGGCCUAACACAUGCAAGUCGAGCGCGCGGCGGACGGGUGAGCAAUGUCUGGGAAACUGCAUGAGGGAGGGGGAGAACUACUGGAAACGGUAGCUAAUACCGCAUACCAUCAGCUGUGCCCAGAUGGGAUUAGCUCGUAGGGGUGGCAACGGCUCACCUAGGCGACGAUCCCGAGCUGGUCUGAGAGGAUGACCAACCACACUGAAACUGAGACACUGUCCAGACUCCUACAGAAGGCAGCAGUGGGGAAUAUUGCACAAUGGGCGCAAGCCUGAUGCAGCCAUGCCGCGUGUGUGAAGAAGGCCUUCGGGUUGUAAAGCACUUUCAGCGGGGAGGCGUUACCCGCAGAAGAAGCACCGGCUAACUCCGUGCCAGCAGCCGCGGUAAUUC
rnacentral:rRNA from 1 species